CUGCCGAAAGGGCAGAGCCGGAGCGAUCCGGUGACGCAAAGUUUCAGGUCCGCUCUGGCGGAUGGCUGGACUGUCGAA
rnacentral:ncRNA from 1 species